rnacentral:rRNA from 1 species
GUCUUUUUGAAUUAAUAUAAAGUCGUACCUGCCCACUGAGGAGUUGAAUGGCCGCGGUAUUUUGACCGUGCAAAGGUAGCAUAAUCAUUAGUCUUUUAAUUGGAGGCUGGAAUGAAAGGUUUGACGAAGCAACUACUGUCUCGAAUUAAUAUAUUGAAUUUUACUUUUAAGUUAAAAGGCUUAAAUAAUAAUAGGGGACGAGAAGACCCUAUAGAUCUUGAAAUGUUUUUAUAAUAGUGUAUAUUUGGUUGUAUAUAAUUAUUAUUAUAAUAAUGUUUUUGGUUGGGGUGACAAGAGAAUAGAAAAACUUCUUUGAUUAGAACUAUGAUAUUUGGUUAUUAGAUCCUAUAAUAUGGAAUUUAGAUAAAGAUACCUUAGGGAUAACAGCGUAAUUUUGUUGGAGAGUUCAUAUUGAUAAUAAAGAUUGCGACCUCGAUGUUGGAUUAAGAAAAUAAUUAGGUGCAGAAGUUUAAUUUAUUGGUCUGUUCGACCAUUAAAUUCUU